CGCCUCGAUGAUGAGGAACUCGUCUCCUACAUCCUGCUAGCUUGGACAUCGACUUCAACCCUGUGGUCACUUCGGUGGCUUCUCGCAUUGAGCCGAUAUCCGUCGGUGAGUUGUUCGCCCAGCUCGUUAGUUUUGAGA
rnacentral:snoRNA from 1 species